UGGGGAAUAUUGCACAAUGGGCGAAAGCCUGAUGCAGCAACGCCGCGUGAGGGAUGACGGCCUUCGGGUUGUAAACCUCUUUCAGUAGGGAAGAAGCGAAAGUGACGGUACCUACAGAAGAAGCACCGGCUAACUACGUGCCAGCAGCCGCGGUAAUACGUAGGGUGCGAGCGUUGUCCGGAAUUAUUGGGCGUAAAGAGCUUGUAGGCGGUUUGUCGCGUCUGCUGUGAAAAUCCGGGGCUCAACCCCGGACUUGCAGUGGGUACGGGCAGACUAGAGUGUGGUAGGGGAGACUGGAAUUCCUGGUGUAGCGGUGAAAUGCGCAGAUAUCAGGAGGAACACCGAUGGCGAAGGCAGGUCUCUGGGCCACUACUGACGCUGAGAAGCGAAAGCGUGGGGAGCGAACA
rnacentral:rRNA from 1 species